GUGCUCACUUCAGCAGCAUAUAUACUAAAAUUGGAAAGAUACAGAGGUUAGCACAACCCCUGCACAGGGAUGACAUACAAAUUCGUGAAACACUCCAUAUUUUU
ensembl:snRNA U6 U6 spliceosomal RNA